rnacentral:rRNA from 1 species
ACAUGCAGUCGAACGGUGAAAGAGGAGCUUGCUCCUCUGGAUCAGUGGCGAACGGGUGAGUAACACGUGAGUAACCUGCCCCAGACUCUGGGAUAAGCACUGGAAACGGUGUCUAAUACCGGAUACGAGCUUCAGCCGCAUGGCUAGGAGCUGGAAAGAAUUUCGGUCUGGGAUGGACUCGCGGCCUAUCAGCUAGUUGGUGAGGUAAUGGCUCACCAAGGCGACGACGGGUAGCCGGCCUGAGAGGGUGACCGGCCACACUGGGACUGAGACACGGCCCAGACUCCUACGGGAGGCAGCAGUGGGGAAUAUUGCACAAUGGGCGCAAGCCUGAUGCAGCAACGCCGCGUGAGGGACGACGGCCUUCGGGUUGUAAACCUCUUUUAGUAGGGAAGAAGCGAAAGUGACGGUACCUGCAGAAAAAGCACCGGCUAACUACGUGCCAGCAGCCGCGGUAAUACGUAGGGUGCAAGCGUUAUCCGGAAUUAUUGGGCGUAAAGAGCUCGUAGGCGGUUUGUCGCGUCUGCUGUGAAAACUGGAGGCUCAACCUCCAGCCUGCAGUGGGUACGGGCAGACUAGAGUGCGGUAGGGGAGAUUGGAAUUCCUGGUGUAGCGGUGGAAUGCGCAGAUAUCAGGAGGAACACCGAUGGCGAAGGCAGAUCUCUGGGCCGUAACUGACGCUGAGGAGCGAAAGCAUGGGGAGCGAACAGGAUUAGAUACCCUGGUAGUCCAUGCCGUAAACGUUGGGAACUAGAUGUAGGGACCAUUCCACGGUUUCUGUGUCGCAGCUAACGCAUUAAGUUCCCCGCC